GAAGAAGACCUUCCAGACUUCAGAUUUAGCAGACAGAAAAUGGAGUCCUCUUAAAAUUCAGCAGACAAAAUCCAUCGAUCUACACUGGAAGUCGGGAAAGGGAAGCGGAAGCGACUCUUCACUCUCCAGAACUGGCACAACAAGCGUCUCCCACCAGCGGUACACCAGGACUGGAUAUCAUCCCUACCAAAACUUUCACGGACUACCGUAUUAA